UCAAACUUGGUCAUUUAGAGGGAAGUAAAAGUCGUAACAAGGUUUCCGUAGGUGAACCUGCGGAAGGAUCAUUAGAAUAUCAGGAAGAUUCUUUUAAAUCUUUCUAAUACUAUUCAAAAAUUUUCGAUCUUAUAUAUUUUUUUAAAAUAUUUUUUUAAAAAAAAAUUAAGAUAACUUUCAACAACGGAUCUCUUGGCUCUUUCAGAUGUGUAUAAGAGACAGUCAAACUUGGUCAUUUAGAGGGAAGUAAAAGUCGUAACAAGGUUUCCGUAGGUGAACCUGCGGAAGGAUCAUUAGAAUAUCAGGAAGAUUCUUUUAAAUCUUUCUAAUACUAUUCAAAAAUUUUCGAUCUUAUAUAUUUUUUUAAAAUAUUUUUUUAAAAAAAAAUUAAGAUAACUUUCAACAACGGAUCUCUUGGCUCUUGCAUCGAUGAAGAACGCAGC
rnacentral:misc_RNA from 1 species